GGGGUGGAGGAGGCGGACGAACAGGGCAGGGGGGGACCUGCGGGCCACAGACACACACACACACACAGAGAAGGGGAGGGGGGGAGAAACACAGAAAGAAAUAAAAUGAACAAAAAAACACGGCAAAACGCAGACAGAGAGACAAUAAAAGUCGAGCCGGGGCACGAGGGAAGGCCGCCCCCCCCGACCCCCGACCCCCCUCAUCCCCCCGCCGCCCGCCCCAGCGGGGCAGCCCUGCCUGAGGGGCGGCCGACUGCACGUACCUGACCGCAUCACCUGCUGCCCCCCGGGCUGGAGCUUAAAACUCCUAUCCACACUUUAAAAGUCGUAUCCAUCAGGGGUUUUGUUUGUUUGGUUGGUUGGUUUGGUUUGUUUAGGUUUUUUGUUUUGGUUUCCGUUUGUUUGUUUGUUUUGUUGUUGUUAUUGUUUUGGUUUGCUUGGGUUUUUUUAAGGUUUUGGAGUUGCAGAGAGCCCCUGGUGUGUGAGACACUUUGUGCCAUGACACGGGCUCUCAUUGUCAGUGAGGCCAGGUGUUGAAGCCGGGCUGCAUCGUACUAAAGGGAAACCCUCGCCCAGCGAGCUUUGGAUUUUAACCAACUGCACCACUGCAGAGUGCACACGAGAAGAUCUCGUGGGUUUUCACGGUCAUUACAUGCACUUCCAGCAGGGAAUGAGCUGACCUUUACAAGGGAAGGUUCCCUAGGAAUUGUGCAUACUAACCAUGUUACUGAGGGCUGCGCUGCUCUGAAGAGCACUGGUGCAUACCACUGUGCUCCCUGGAAGAUUCCCUUUUGCCACAAACGAUGGGGUGGAUACAACAGGAGAUUUUACCGGCUGACGGAUGAAAGAUGGGCGCUAAUCAGCUCUGCUGACAACAACAAAUGAAAAUGGAAGGGAAGCAAAGGAUACCUCCCUUUUUAACAAUUCAACAACUCUGUUUGUAAGCAUGUGUUACAUUGUGGAUCCUUUAAGAGAAUUGCCUCCUUUUUUUCAUACUUGGGCAGAAAACCAAGAAUUAAAUCUGACCUUUUCACAAAAAUUAAACUGAGAGAGAGAUGAAAGCUACAAGUUUGUAUCCUUCUCAGACAAGAAUUUCAUUGGAUUUACUGCAACUGCAGGCCCAAGUAAAACAAGCAGGAUUUGGCCUGUAAACUUUCAUUCCAGAUGCCAGAGUAAAACUUCUAAUUGAUUAGUACAAAAUAAAUUCGAAGCAACACUGUGUUGCUAUGGAACCUGAGCAAGUAGAAAAAGUUUCUUUGCAGUAUGUGCUGUUUCUCCUUCAAAAAUAAAAAACAGAAGGACUAGAUAACACAUUCAUUAUGCAGAGUCUUGCAGUUUGGAAGCUAACUCAAAGAAAAACAAAACAGAUUCCAAGUAUGGGCCCCUUGGCAUCAAUUUGUAACAAUCCUAUAUAUCUGCUUGCAGUGAACAGUCAAAACUAUGUUCUUUGGACUUGAGGCAGGAAUAAUAGACAUUGUAUGUCACUGUAUGACUGUAUGUUGCUUGCACAUAUUUAGAGGAAAACAGAACAGAACCUUCUAUUUUAUCUAUGUGCCAGUACUUCAGACUAAAAUUAAAAAAAAGAUCAGGGGAAGAUACGGUGCAGUCUCUGUAAUUUAUGAAAGUACUUAGGAAACACAAACUUUAGAAAUAGGUUAGUACAAAGAAUCUGUUUCCCAGCUUAACCAAGGAAUUAUGCAAUAUUCAGGUAUCUACUUUAAAUAUAGGGAAGAGACAACCAGAGCAGACCCUAAACAGUUAGGGGAAAGUAAGACAAACAGUAAACAUGCCUUCAUUUUAUACUGCACAUUUGGCUGUAAUAUUUCAGAAUUGCUAGAAUUACUCUGUCUCUCACAGGAUUUGGCCUUCAGAGAUCAAGAGCUGAUUUAAAACGGGUGUAUUCAUGCUAGUGUGAAUAGAAGAGCUGCCAGAAAUACAGAACAUUCAAGGGGAUACUUUUAAAGAAGGAACCUGGUAUGAAAAUCACUCAAGGAAGGAUUGAUGUACCUUAAUUUGGAGGGAAUAUCAUCAAUGGAUGACACAAGCUGGAUAAGUGUUAACAGUUGCACUGAACCAAGCAGUUAACAAAAUUGAUGUGAUUAAUAAUAAUAGACAACUACUUACAUGACUUUGAGACUUUAGAGCUCUGAGUUCCUAAAGGAGUCAAGGUGAGGAGAUACUGGAUAAGGAAAUGGGAACUCCUGAAAAUGGUUAUUUUUCUAGUCCUGCUGUCAAGUCUAGGAAAAUCCUGCAGCGUUCUCACCGUAAUAUGAAAAAUAAAGUGGUCAGAUGUUAUAUGGCUGUUUUAAUUGUGGUAAUUGUGCAUUUUUUCCAGGCACAAAGAAGGAUGCUGCUGCUUCUAUAUUGAAGGGAGAAUGAGUUUUAUAAGUCAUAAAAGAGAAUGAAACACCGGACCCUUAGCUCACUUGCUGUAAAAAAAAAAAAAAAAGAAAGAAAAAAGUAAAAAAGAAAAACAAGUGAGGACUUUCAGGGCUUAUCCUGAAAAA